rnacentral:rRNA from 1 species
UACGAAGGGGGCUAGCGUUGUUCGGAAUUACUGGGCGUAAAGCGCGUGUAGGCGGGCCGUUAAGUUGGGGGUGAAAGUCCACAGCUCAACUCUGGAAUUGCCUUCGAUACUGGCGGCCUGGAGCAUGAUAGAGGCGAGUGGAAUUGCGGGUGUAGAGGUGAAAUUCGUAGAUAUUCGCAGGAACACCAGUGGCGAAGGCGACUCGCUGGAUCAUUGCUGACGCUGAGACGCGAAAGCGUGGGGAGCAAACAGG